UACGUAGGGUCCGAGCGUUGUCCGGAAUUAUUGGGCGUAAAGAGCUCGUAGGCGGUUUGUCGCGUCUGCUGUGAAAUCCCGAGGCUCAACCUCGGGUCUGCAGUGGGUACGGGCAGACUGGAGUGCGGUAGGGGAGAAUGGAAUUCCUGGUGUAGCGGUGGAAUGCGCAGAUAUCAAGAGGAACACCGAUGGCGAAGGCAGUUCUCUGGGCCGUAACUGACGCUGAGGAGCGAAAGCGUGGGGAGCGAACAGG
rnacentral:rRNA from 1 species